UACAGAGGUCUCAAGCGUUGUUCGGAUUUAUUGGGCGUAAAGGGUGCGUAGGCGGUCUGCUAAGUUUGGUGUGAAAUCCCGGGGCUCAACCCUGGAAUUGCAUUGAAUACUGGUGGACUAGAGUACUGGAGAGGAAACUGGAAUUUACGGUGUAGCAGUGAAAUGCGUAGAGAUCGUAAGGAAGACCAGUGGCGAAGGCGAGUUUCUGGACAGUAACUGACGCUGAGGCACGAAGGCCAGGGGAGCAAACGGG
rnacentral:rRNA from 1 species